rnacentral:rRNA from 1 species
AUUGAACGCUGGCGGCAGGCCUAACACAUGCAAGUCGAACGGUAACAGGAAGAAGCUUGCUUCUUUGCUGACGAGUGGCGGACGGGUGAGUAAUGUCUGGGAAACUGCCUGAUGGAGGGGGAUAACUACUGGAAACGGUAGCUAAUACCGCAUAACGUCGCAAGACCAAAGAGGGGGAGCUUCGGGCCUCUUGCCAUCGGAUAUUCCCAGAUGGGAUUAGCUAGUAGGUGGGGUAACGGCUCACCUAGGCGACGAUCCCUAGCUGGUCUGAGAGGAUGACCAGCCACGCUGGAACUGAGACACGGUCCAGACUCCUACGGGAGGCAGCAGUGGGGAAUAUUGCACAAUGGGCGAGAGCCUGAUGCAGCCAUGCCGCGUGUAUGAAGAAGGCCUUCGGGUUGUAAAGUACUUUCAGCGGGGAGGAAGGGAGUAAAGUUAAUACCUUUACUCAUUGACGUUACCCGCAGAAGAAGCACCGGCUAACUCCGUG